UAAGCGGAGGAAAAGAAACUAACAAGGAUUCCCCUAGUAGCGGCGAGCGAAGCGGGAAGAGCUCAAAUUUAUAAUCUGGCGCUUUCAGCGUCCGAGUUGUAAUCUCUAGAAGUGUUUUCCGCGUUGGACCGCACAUAAGUCUGUUGGAAUACAGCGGCACAGUGGUGAGACCCCCGUAUACGGUGCGGAUGCCCAAUGCUUUGUGAUACACUUUCGAAGAGUCGAGUUGUUUGGGAAUGCAGCUCAAAUUGGGUGGUAAAUUCCAUCUAAAGCUAAAUAUUGGCGAGAGACCGAUAGCGAACAAGUACCGUGAGGGAAAGAUGAAAAGCACUUUGGAAAGAGAGUUAACAGUACGUGAAAUUGUUGGAAGGGAAACGCUUGAAGUCAGACUUGCUUUUCGGGGUUUACUCCGGUUGGCAGGCCAGCAUCAGUUUUCYGGGGCGGAAAAUCACGGUUAGAAGGUAGCAGUUUCGGCUGUGUUAUAGCUUUCCGUUGGAUACGUCCUGGGGGACUGAGGAACGCAGUGUGCUUUUAGCGAGGGCUUCGGCCCUUUCACACUUAGGAUGCUGGUGGAAUGGCUUUAAACGACCCGUCUUGAAACACG
rnacentral:rRNA from 1 species